CUCCGCUGCCCCCACCCGUUAGGCAUUGCGGGGAUUCCCAGUCCGGGUCAGCCCCGGCGCCAGCCCCGCCCCUAGAUCACGGCCGACUUCUCCUAGCGGGGUGCGCCGCGCACGCGCACGCGCGCCGCCAUCCUCCGCCUCCGGGAGUCCUCGGCACCCGAGACUUCCAAGCAAACCCGGGAGAGGGUUUCCUGCGUGGGCUUUGAGCCAGGCGCGGAGCAGCAGAGCAAGGAGAGGCUGCGACCAACUCAGUCUGUGACAUGUCGUUUGCAGGCGAAAAGCCAUCUGCCUCUUAAUUUUCGGACUUCACUGCAGAAUUGUUUUCUGAAGCACUUUAGAUAUUACUGUCGGCUUGUUAGCUAACUGUAAACCACCACCACCACCACCCCCUCCCCGGAGAUCGGCCUUUUAAGUUUUACAGCUGUUCUCUGUUCAGUUCCUGUCACCGUUCUAGGUCGGCCCAGCAAAUACUACUUCCCCAGUUUUAACAGAUGUGGAAACAACCCAGAGAGAUGAAUUGACACUCACCCCUAGAUCAAGUGGCAGAAUCUGAAACCUGACUCUCUUUCACUGAAUCUUUCCCUCUUUCCCCAUCGCCCACGGGAUAAAACAAAUUAAUCGCGAGUGAAUAACCUGUAUGUAUUCCAACUGAUUUUAGCCUACGCCACCCUGAACCAGAAAGCAUCUUUUGCACCCCCUCUCUUCUUUCUCAAGUACCCCUUAACAACUUCCUGUGCCUUUUUUUUUUUAACCUCGCUCUGCAUCUACUUGGCUUCUGGGUACAUUAUGGAGUCCACCUCCUUCCUGCCUAUUCCAGACCACAUUUCCACUCCCGGAGAGAGAUGGGAGCUGCACCCGCCAGGCCCAGAGAUCAUCUUGAAGAAGGAGAACAAGGGGGCCGUGCAAAGAACUGUGGAAGCAGAACCCCCAUCCUGGUCUGAACCACAGGACUCUGUACUUUCACAUAAGAAAGGGUCUUUGGCAUAAGCAAGGCCAGUGUGUAGGCAAGAGGCCCUCCCAGGGGAGCCACCCUCUCAAGACAUUCUGCAGCUAAACCGAGUAACCAGAUGGAAUGAAAAAAGCACAGGUUCGAGAAGAGAUGACACGAGACCCACACAGGAGGCUGUCACCACCCUGGGGCCCCUGGAACAGCUGAAGCCCCAAGGAAAUGGACACGCACCCCCAUCUGAGGAGCCUCCCUCUGCCAUCCUCCUGGUUCGGUGUCAGGAAGUCAUGUCCUGGCACCACCACCGCCCUUACCCGGCUGGAAUGGUAAAAGCCCAUCCUGUCUGCUGCCACCGCCCACACCUUCUGCACCUCCUUCCCUCCUGCCUUGCACAGCCUUGUCCCAUUCAUCGCCCAGGCAGAGCAUCCGCCCCUAGGAAUCCACCCUGCAGUCCACGUUCACUCUGGUCUGGAAGCUGUUAGCGUGAGGACCAAACCUACUGCCCCAGGAGACGCUGGAAGGAAGGCGGAGGGGUGAAAGGGAAAAGCAAGAAACAGGCCUCACUGUUACAGCAAGAGACCUAGUUGUAUUUAGAUAUGUUAUGUCUUGUUGCUUGGCAACCAGGGCUCAGCCCGUGUGCUGGCUAGGGAAGAGGGGGUCUCUUUGUUGGAGCUGCUUGCAGUGACUCAUCACUCCGUGCUCUGGCCCCUGGGACUAGGUUAACAGGCAAUGUGGUUUCAGGCUGGGUGCAGGUGGCAGGGCUCUGCUUGCUGUGGAAUCAAAGCUUGGAGCAGCACCAGCUCCUCAAAGGAAUGUGGGCAGCAGCCAGACCACCACGGGGCUCCUGGUUCCGCUAGCUGGGUAUGCUUGGGCAAGUCACUUAACUCUUCCCACCUCGGCCUCUUCAUCUUUAAAAGGAGAUUAUGAGGGGCCCCUGGGUGGCUCAAUUGGUUGAGCAUCUGACUCUUGAUUUCUGCUCAGGUCAUGAUCCCAGGGUCAUGGGAUUGAGCCCUACAUUGGGCUCCACGCACUGAGCGUGGAGCCUGCUUAAGAUUCUCUCUCUCUCUGUGUCCCUCUGCCCCCUCUCCUGCUUGCCCUCUCUCUCCCUCUAAAACAAAUUUAAAAAGUAAAAGGAGACAUUAAGAGUGACUUCUGGGGCACCUGGGGGGCUCAGCUGGUUGAGUUUCCAACUCUUGGUUUCAGUUCAGAGCAUGAUCUCACAGUUCAUGAGUUCGAGCCCCGUGUCGGGGUCUGUGCUGACAGUGUGGAGCCUACUUGGGAUUCUUUCUCUUGCUGUCUGCCCCUCCCCCCCCCCACGCAUGUAUGUGUGUGUGCUCGCGCUCUCAAAAUAAAUAAACUUAAAAAAAAAAAAAGAGUGACUGCUCAUUGGGGGUUUACAACAGAUUUCAAACACGUUAACUCAUCCACACUUAUGUCCUCUCUACAUUGGACAAUGAGGAAACUAUAUGUAGUCCAGGGCAAAGUUAACCAACUUUCCUAAAGUCACUUAAUUUGUACGUGGGGGAGGUGGAAUUUGAACCCAGGUCUGUGCAGUUCAGUGUGCUAUAUGUCUUUUCACUGUGACACCUCAUGUCGUGCUCAAGUGCCUUGACAGUGUCAGGGACUGAGUUCCCAGGCUCAGGCCAGUGAGAUUCUCCAGGGCAGUUUCUCAGCACAGAGGGUUGGAGAACUCUCUCUGAUAUCAGGGCCAUGUCUUUAGUUAGAAAAGCGCCCGCAGUCCCUGCACCCCAAGUGGGUGUGGGGGGGUACAAAGCCACCUUCGCACCUCGGCCCACCUGCUCUUGCCGUCAGCAGUGCAAUAGAAACUGCAGCUU